GUCUACGCUGUAAACGAUGGAUACUUGGUGUUGGAGGUAUUGACCCCUUCAGUGCCGAAGCUAACGCGUUAAGUAUCCCGCCUGGGAAGUACGGUCGCAAGAUUAAAACUCAAAGAAAUUGACGGGGGUCCGCACAAGCGGUGGAGAAUGUGGUUCAAUUCGAUGCAACGCGAAAACCUUACCUGGGCUCGAAGUGGAAGGGAAGACAUUAGAGAUAAUGUUGCCCGCAAGGGUCGUUCCAUAGGUGCUGCAUGGCUGUCGU
rnacentral:rRNA from 1 species